rnacentral:rRNA from 1 species
AUUGAACGCUGGCGGCAGGCCUAACACAUGCAAGUCGAGCGAGCGGCGGACGGGUGAGUAAUGUAUGGGGACUGCCCGAUAGAGGGGGAUAACUACUGGAAACGGUAGCUAAUACCGCAUACUAUCGGAUAACCCAUAUGGGAUUAGCUAGUAGGUGAGGUAAUGGCUCACCUAGGCAACGAUCCGUAGGUGGUUUGAGAGGACGACCAGCCCCAACGGGACUUGGACACGGCCCAGGCCCUUAGGGGGGGAGCCAUGGGGAAUUUUGGACAAUGGGGGAAACCCUGAUCCAGCCAUCCCGCGUGUAUGAUGAAGGCCUUCGGGUUGUAAAGUACUUUUGGCAGAGAAGCGGUAUCUGCAGAAUAAGCACCGGCUAACUACGUGCCAGCAGCCGCGGUAAUAC